rnacentral:rRNA from 1 species
UAGGGAAUCUUCCGCAAUGGGCGAAAGCUUGACGGAGCAACGCCGCGUGAGUGAUGAAGGUCUUCGGAUCGUAAAACUCUGUUAUUAGGGAAGAACAAAUGUGUAAGUAACUAUGCACGUCUUGACGGUACCUAAUCAGAAAGCCACGGCUAACUACGUGCCAGCAGCCGCGGUAAUACGUAGGUGGCAAGCGUUAUCCGGAAUUAUUGGGCGUAAAGCGCGCGUAGGCGGUUUUUUAAGUCUGAUGUGAAAGCCCACGGCUCAACCGUGGAGGGUCAAUUGAAACUGGAAAACUUGAGUGCAGAAGAGGAAAGUGGAAUUCCAUGUGUAGCGGUGAAAUGCGCAGAGAUAUGGAGGAACACCAGUGGCGAAGGCGACUUUCUGGUCUGUAACUGACGCUGAUGUGCGAAAGCGUGGGGAUCAAACAGG